GACGAACGCUGGCGGCGUGCCUAAUACAUGCAAGUAGAACGCUGAAGGAGGAGCUUGCUCUUAUGGAUGAGUUGCGAAAGGGUGAGUAACGCGUAGGUAACCUGCCCGGUAGCGGGGGAUAACUAUUGGAAACGAUAGCUAAUACCGCAUAACAGUAGAUGUUGCAUGACAUUUACUUAAAAGGUGCAAUUGCAUCACUACCAGAUGGACCUGCGUUGUAUUGGCUAGUUGGUGGGGUAACGGCUCACCAAGGCGACGAUACAUAGCCGAACUGAGAGGGGGGUCGGCCACACUGGGACUGAGACACGGCCCAGACUCCUUCGGGAGGCAGCAGUAGGGAAUCUUCGGCAAUGGACGGAAGUCUGACCGAGCAACGCCGCGUGAGUGAAGAAGGUUUUCGGAUCGUAAAGCUCUGUUGUCAGAGAAGAACGAGUGUGAGAGUGGAAAGUUCACACUGUGACGGUAUCUUACCAGAAAGGGACGGCUAACUACGUG
rnacentral:rRNA from 1 species